rnacentral:lncRNA from 1 species
GGGGGCUUGCAAUGGCUCCAACCGGAAGGGCGGUGCUCGAGCUGUGGUGCGUGCCGCUAAGUUGUGCGUUCCAGGGUGCACUCGCCGGCGAGGCUGCACGGCGCCGGUUUCAUUGCUAAAAUCCGACGGACUUGUUGCAGAACUCGUUUUUUUUGUCGGGAAAGGGCUUCCCCGUGUAACUUUACAGCAGUUAUCGUAGAUAAGACUUGCAAAUUACAGAUGUGGACGGUGAGGGAACGGGAAUUUCACUGAAAGCGCCUGAGAACCAGUAAGAGACCUGCAACAGCUUUGUGCUCCACUGGCGAAUGCUUCCUCCCCUAAUACACAUUAUGUGUGCUUGGAGACACAAGGAGUAAGAUACAGCCCCUCAAGGGACUCGUCAUAGGGAGAGGACACAGCUUUGGGAAUAAAGGGGCCACAAAGGAGGAGAGAGGAGUUUGCUGAAACUUCCCAAGCUCCCAUUCCAGCAGUUCCUGAAGGAUUCAUUUCUCUCUGAGGAUCUCAUGAGGUGGCUUAGCAGCUAGAAUCUCUUCCUUAACAGUGGGAAGAACAACUCCUGGAAAUUUAGGUCGACUUUGACUGGAUUUAAAAGAAAGCUGUACAAUUCCACUUCUGUAUAUACAACCAAAGGAAAUGAGAUGUGCAUACCCAUGUUCAAUGAAGCAUUAUUCACAAUAGCCAAAAUGUGGAACCAAUCCUUAAACAAAAGGAAAACAGAAAAUCUGCUCAAGGCACCUGAGAAAAUCACAACCCACACUUGCGAACCCCUAGGAGACCUAAAGCUGUGGUUUUACAAAUAAACAGAUAAGUAACAUUCCUACUCUUUCCUAUAGGUACUCAAUCUUCUUAACAACUCCCAUCCCACACAGGUUUGCAUCCCCAGCAGAUACAUAUGGCUAUGUGGUCACCCAUUCGAUCAGCCUAUAAAAGACUUGUCUUAUUUGAUAUUGUGAAACCCAUGGUUAUCAGUGUAUAUGAAAAUGUUUGGUUCAGGGGUCAAUGUACAAUAUGACAAGCAAAGUCCUCUAAUACACAGUUAUAUAAAAUCACUCACCUGAGAGCCAAGUGGACAAUUGGCCUUAUAUUGGCUGGAGUUGGAGCCCCAGAGGGAAAAUUUGCCUAUUAUUAGGCAACUCUUCAAAACUUUACUUAUUCGUUUCUAAACACUGUCUCAUAAAAUGGGGGAUGCUUUAGAUGAAUUAAGAUUAGCACUAGAUUACUUAUUCGUUGAAAAUUAGCACUAGAUUUCUUAUUGGUUGAACAAGGAGGAGUGUGCACCAUAAUCAAUAUAACCUGCUGCAGUUAUGUAAACACCUCAGGUCACAUAGAAGAAGAUAUACAGAAAAUACAUGAACAAGCUGUGUGGUUGCGUAAAUAUAACCAAGGCACCAAUCCCAACUGUAUCUGGUCAG